rnacentral:tRNA from 1 species
GGCACGGUGGUGCAGUGGGUAGCACUGUCUUUUCAGAGCACCGAGGUCAUUGGUUCGAAUCCCGGCCUGGGCCU